UACGGGGGGGGCAAGCGUUGUUCGGAAUUACUGGGCGUAAAGGGCUCGCAGGCGGCCAACUAAGUCAGACGUGAAAUCCCUCGGCUUAACCGGGGAACUGCGUCUGAUACUGGAUGGCUAGAGUUUGGGAGAGGGAUGCGGAAUUCCAGGUGUAGCGGUGAAAUGCGUAGAUAUCUGGAGGAAUACCGGUGGCGAAGGCGGCAUCCUGGACCAAUACUGACGCUGAGGCGCGAAAGCUAGGGGAGCAAACGGG
rnacentral:rRNA from 1 species